AACGUAGGUGGCGAGCGUUAUCCGGAUUUACUGGGCGUAAAGGGUGUGCAGGCGGGCCAUUAAGUGGUGUAUGAAAUAUCCCGGCUCAACCGGGAGAGGUUAUGCCAGACUGGUGGUCUAGAGAGCGAGAGAGGGACGUGGAAUUCCGGGUGUAGCGGUGAAAUGCGUAGAUAUCUGGAGGAACACCGGUGGCGAAGGCGGCAUCCUGGACCGAUAUUGACGCUGAGGAGCGAAAGCCAGGGGAGCAAACGGG
rnacentral:rRNA from 1 species